AGAGUUUGAUCCUGGCUCAGGAUGAACGCUAGCUACAGGCUUAACACAUGCAAGUCGAGGGGCAGCAUGGUCUUAGCUUGCUAAGGCUGAUGGCGACCGGCGCACGGGUGAGUAACACGUAUCCAACCUGCCGUCUACUCUUGGCCAGCCUUCUGAAAGGAAGAUUAAUCCAGGAUGGCAUCAUGAGUUCACAUGUCCGCAUGAUUAAAGGUAUUUUCCGGUAGACGAUGGGGAUGCGUUCCAUUAGAUAGUAGGCGGGGUAACGGCCCACCUAGUCAACGAUGGAUAGGGGUUCUGAGAGGAAGGUCCCCCACAUUGGAACUGAGACACGGUCCAAACUCCUACGGGAGGCAGCAGUGAGGAAUAUUGGUCAAUGGGCGAUGGCCUGAACCAGCCAAGUAGCGUGAAGGAUGACUGCCCUAUGGGUUGUAAACUUCUUUUAUAAAGGAAUAAAGUCGGGUAUGCAUACCCGUUUGCAUGUACUUUAUGAAUAAGGAUCGGCUAACUCCGUGCCAGCAGCCGCGGUAAUACGGAGGAUCCGAGCGUUAUCCGGAUUUAUUGGGUUUAAAGGGAGCGUAGGCGGACGCUUAAGUCAGUUGUGAAAGUUUGCGGCUCAACCGUAAAAUUGCAGUUGAUACUGGGUGUCUUGAGUACAGUAGAGGCAGGCGGAAUUCGUGGUGUAGCGGUGAAAUGCUUAGAUAUCACGAAGAACUCCGAUUGCGAAGGCAGCCUGCUGGACUGUAACUGACGCUGAUGCUCGAAAGUGUGGGUAUCAAACAGGAUUAGAUACCCUGGUAGUCCACACAGUAAACGAUGAAUACUCGCUGUUUGCGAUAUACAGUAAGCGGCCAAGCGAAAGCGUUAAGUAUUCCACCUGGGGAGUACGCCGGCAACGGUGAAACUCAAAGGAAUUGACGGGGGCCCGCACAAGCGGAGGAACAUGUGGUUUAA
rnacentral:rRNA from 1 species